rnacentral:rRNA from 1 species
UGAGUACGAGAUGCUACGGCGUCGAAGCAGUCUAUGUCAUACUUCCAAGAAAAGCUUGCACUGUCAUAAACAAAGAAUGCCUGUACCAUAACCGACACAGGUGGGUAGGUAGAGUAUACUAAGGGGCGCGAGAUAACUCUCUCUAAGGAACUCGGCAAAAUGACUCCGUAACUUCGGGAGAAGGAGUGCCUUAUUUUUAAGGUUGCAAUAACAAGAUCCAAGCAACUGUUUACCAAAAACACAGGUCUCCGCUAAGUCGUAAGACGAUGUAUGGGGGCUGACGCCUGCCCAGUGCAGAAGGUUAAAGAAGUUGGUUAGCAUUAGCGAAGCUGAUAACUGAAGCCCUGGUGAACGGCGGCCGUAACAAUAACGGUCCUAAGGUAGCGAAAUUCCUUGUCGGGUAAGUUCCGACCCGCACGAAAGGCGUAAUGAUUUGGAUACUGUCUCGGAGAGGGGCUCGGUGAAAUAGACUUGUCUGUGAAGAUGCGGACUACCUGCACCUGGACAGAAAGACCCUAUGAAGCUUUACUGUAACUUGAGAUUGAAAUUGGACUUUAUUUGCGCAGUAUAGGUGGGAGGCGUUGAGAAUAAUCUUGCGGGAUUAUUGGAGCCAUCAGUGAGAUACCACUCUUGUAAUGUUAGAUUUCUAACUUUGUAUCAUUAUCUGGUCAAAGAACAGUUUCAGGCGGGCAGUUUGACUGGGGCGGUCGCCUCCCAAAGGGUAACGGAGGCGCACAAAGGUUUCCUCUGAACGGGUAGAAAUCGUAUCUAGAGUGUAAAGGCAUAAGGAAGCUUGACUGUGAGACCUACAAGUCGAGCAGGGACGAAAGUCGGUCUUAGUGAUCUGACGGUGCUGAGUGGAAAGGCCGUCACUCAACGGAUAAAAGUUACUCUAAGGAUAACAGGCUGAUCUCCCCCAAGAGUUCACAUCGACGGGGAGGUUUGGCACCUCGAUGUCGGCUCAUCGCAUCCUGGGGCGGUAGUACGUCCCAAGGGUUGGGCUGUUCGCCCAUGAAAGCGGUACGCGAGCUGGGUUCAGAACGUCGUGAGACAGUUCGGUCCAUAUCCGGUGUAGGCGUUAGAAUAUUGAGAGGAGCCUUCUCUAGUACGAGACGACCGAGAAGGACAUACCUCUGGUGUACCAGUUAUCGUGCCAACGGUAAACGCUGGGUAGCUAUGUAUGGAGUGGAUAACCGCUGAAAGCAUCUAAGUGGGAAGCCCACCUUAAGAUAAGUAUUCUCAC